rnacentral:rRNA from 1 species
UACAGGGGGGGCAAGCGUUGUCCGGAAUUAUUGGGCGUAAAGAGCGUGUAGGCGGUCCGGUAAGUCAGCUGUGAAAGUCAAGGGCUCAACCCUUGAAUGCCGGUUGAUACUGUCGGGCUAGAGUCCGGAAGAGGCGAGUGGAAUUCCCGGUGUAGCGGUGAAAUGCGCAGAUAUCGGGAGGAACACCAAUGGCGAAGGCAGCUCGCUGGGACGGUACUGACGCUGAGACGCGAAAGCGUGGGGAGCGAACAGG